rnacentral:rRNA from 1 species
GACGAACGCUGGCGGCGUGCUUAACACAUGCAAGUCGAACGGUGAAGCGCCUUCCUUUUUGGUGGGUGUGGAUGAGUGGCGAACGGGUGAGUAACACGUGAGUAACCUGCCCCCUUCUUCUGGAUAACCGCAUGAAAGUGUGGCUAAUACGGGAUAUUCUGGGUCUGUCGCAUGAUGGGUCUGGGAAAGAUAUUGUUUCGGUGGGGGAUGGGCUCGCGGCCUAUCAGCUUGUUGGUGGGGUGAUGGCCUACCAAGGCGGUGACGGGUAGCCGGCCUGGGAGGGUGGACGGUCACACUGGGAGUGAGACACGGCCCAGACUCCUACGGGAGGCAGCAGUGGGGAAUAUUGCACAAUGGGCGCAAGCCUGAUGCAGCGACGCCGCGUGAGGGAUGGAGGCCUUCGGGUUGUGAACCUCUUUCGCCAGUGAAGCAGGCCUGCCUCGUUUGUGGGUGGGUUGACGGUAGCUGGAUAAGAAGCGCCGGCUAACUACGUG